GAGUUUGACUUGGCUCAGAUUGAACGCUGGCGGCAUGCCUUACACAUGCAAGUCGAACGGCAGCACGGGAGCUUGCUCCUGGUGGCGAGUGGCGAACGGGUGAGUAAUGCAUCGGAACGUAUCCUGGAGUGGGGGAUAACGUAGCGAAAGUUACGCUAAUACCGCAUAUUCUGUGAGCAGGAAAGCGGGGGACCUUCGGGCCUCGCGCUCUUGGAGCGGCCGAUGUCGGAUUAGCUAGUUGGUGAGGUAAAGGCUCACCAAGGCGACGAUCCGUAGCAGGUCUGAGAGGAUGAUCUGCCACACUGGAACUGAGACACGGUCCAGACUCCUACGGGAGGCAGCAGUGGGGAAUUUUGGACAAUGGGGGCAACCCUGAUCCAGCCAUGCCGCGUGAGUGAAGAAGGCC
rnacentral:rRNA from 1 species